rnacentral:rRNA from 1 species
GGAAGAUGUGUCUAGUAAGAAUUUAUUACAGAUUAGAGUUUGAUUAGAAAACAUUUCAUUUACACUGAAAUUUUUACUGUGCGAUUCAGUAUAAUUUGAUCAUCUAAUUAAUUACUAUAAUUAUUUGUUGUUAUGAUGAGAGAAAUAUCUUUACUUUUAGUAUAAUUAUAGAAAAAAUUUUAUUAGUGAUUUACAGGUACUGUAGAGGGGUUUUGAAAUAUUUUGAAAAAUUUUUGAUUAAAAAGUAUAUUUUAUUUAUAGUACCUUUUGUAUCAGGGUUAAUCAAUUAUAAUUAAUUUAAUUAUUGUUUUCCCGAUUAUAAAAGAUCUAAUAAGCUGUAUUAGUUGUUGUUGCAUAAACAUUAAUAACUGUUUAUUAGAGGAGAAAUUCUAUUCGUUUUUAUAGGUAUCUGGUUUUUUAAGAAAUAAAUUUAAUUUAGGCAUUUUUAUUAAAUAUUUAAUUUAAUAAAUAUUUAUAUUUAAGUGCUAAUUUAGCAGGGGACAAGCUCUGUUAAAUUUCUAUAACUUUGUUUUAUAUUUAAUUGUAGUAGGGUUAAAAUCAUCCAUCUUUUUAAUUACGUUGUAGUGUAUAUUAAUUUAUAAUUGAUUUAUGUUCGUUUAGUUUAUUAUUAAAAUUUAAUGUUUAACUAUGUUUCAUUAAUAAUAAUGAUUAAAUUAGUAUAAUUUUGUGUUUUUUAUUAAUUAAAUGUUAUUAUUAAAUAAGGAACUCGGCAAAUAAGCACUCGCCUGUUUAUCAAAAACAUGUCUUCUUGUUUUUAUAGGAAGUCUGACCUGCCCAGUGAAUAAAUUUUUUAACGGCCGCGGUAUUUUGACCGUGCAAAGGUAGCAUAAUCAUUAGUCUUUUAAUAGAAGGCUGGCAUGAAUGGUUUGACGAGGUGCUGACUGUCUCAUUUAAUUUUCAUUAGAACUUAACUUUUUAGUUAAAAGGCUAAAAUUUACUUGGAAGACGAGAAGACCCUAUAGAGCUUUAUAAUAUACUUAUUGAUCAUAUUUUGUUUUAUUUUUUUGGUUAUUUGGCUUAUUAUUCUGUUGGGGUGACAAAAAUAUAUAAUUAACUUUUUUAUUUAUACUACAUUAAUUUAUGGUUUAUAGGAUCCAUUUUUAGUGAUUGUUAGACUAAGUUACCUUAGGGAUAACAGCGUAAUCUUCUUUCAGA